rnacentral:lncRNA from 1 species
AACAUCCUAAUAUCUGUUAGCUUUUGGAAGCCCAGUAAUGAAGUCUAAUGAAAUAUCUUCACACACAACCUUGGGGAUAGAAAGAGAUUGCAGAAGCACACCCAGCGUAGUUGCAACAUACUUUUUUCCUUUGGCAAACAUCAUUUGUUGACAAGGAGAAGAAACACGUCGUAAAAAAUACUUCAAGCUCUUCUGAUCCGUGUGGACCACAAAGAAUCUAUCCAAUAGAUAGUGCCACUAAUGUUGAAUGGCAAGAACUAAUGUCAUAAGUUCCGUUUCAUAAAUGGACAUGGACAAGUUACCAUCAAAC